GGACGUCCCACGUUCGGACUGCAGGCUGCAACCCGCCUGCACGAAGUUGGAAUUGCUAGUAAUCGCGGAUCAGCAUGCCGCGGUGAAUACGUUCCCGGGCUUUGUACACACCGCCCGUCACACCAUGAGAGUUGGAGAUACCCGAAGCCUAUGAGCUAACUUUUAGAGGCAGUAGUCGAAGGUAGAAUCAAUGAUUGGGGUGAAGUCGUAACAAGGUAGC
rnacentral:rRNA from 1 species